GGGAGCAAGGCGAGACCGCCGCACUCACUUCCUCAAUCACAACCAAAUGCACAGAAGUCUGCGGAGAAUGCUUCAAAGGAAGAUCUUGCUUAAAGAUAUGCCUCGUCCGACUGUAUCCCAAAGAACAUCCUGAAAGGGCAGAGUUCUUUGAUCAGCUGAGCGUAGGUGGGAAUUCCUUUCCAUACACGCUUAGAACAUGCUCAGGACUGAUGGAGACAGCGGGAAGAAGAGCGAGCAGGCCUCAUGGUGGAAACCAUGGAUAGCACCAUGAAGCUAUCCCUUCCUACGGUGACAGAAUGCAAUGCGAUACCGGACGACAGGAGUGAGAUUCCCACGCCCGAAGUCGCACGUCACCACCCACACCUCAAACCUAUAGCAGAGUUCAUCCCGCCAUUGGAUCACGUGGCACAGAUUUUACUUCUGCUUGGCAGGGACAUGCUGAGAGUCCACAAAGUUCGUGAUCAACGCAACGGACCUCACGACGCUCCCUUCGCCCAGAGACUCGACCUAGGAUGGGUCAUUGUAGGUGAUGUUUGUAUCGAUGGAACACACACACCAGACCACAUUAGCACAUUCAGAACGAGUGUGCUCAUGAAUGGACGCAUGUCGCUCUUCAAACCGUGCCUCAACCACUGCACGCUGAAAGAGAAAUUCGACGAUAGAAGUCAAGGCUGUACCAGGCAGGCCGACGAAGAAACCUCUAUGCUGAAAGAUGAUGUUGGACAUACGGUGUUCGUGACCACGAAGGACGAUGACAAACCUGCUUCAUCACUAGAGGAUAAAGAAUUCUUGAAAAUAAUGGACAGAAAGUUCUUCCAAGAUGAGUCAAACAGUUGGGUUGCCCCUCUGCCAUUUCGUAAUCCCAGAUGCCGGUUACCCAAAAAUAGAGAGCAAGCCCUCUCACGGCUCAACUCAUUGCGCCGCAACUUGGACAACAAACAGAGAUGAAGAAUCAUUUUGUGUCCUUCAUGAAAAAUACAUUUGAUAGUGGUCACGCUGAAGCAGCCUCUCCUCUAGAAGAAGAACAGGAAUGUUGGUACUUACCAAUCUUUGGCGUGUAUCACCCAACAAAGCCGGAUCAGAUCAGAGUGGUGUUCGAUUCCAGUGCUCAAUUUAAGGGCAUUCCUUGAACAAGGUAAUGCUCCCCGGACCGGACUUGACCAACAGUCUCCUAGGGUUACUCACCCGUUUCAGAAAGGAGUCAAUCGCCGUAACAGCCGACAUUCAACAAAUGUUCCACUGUUUCAUUGUCCGAGAAGACGACAGAAAUUACCUCAGGUUUCUUUGGUACCACAAUAACAAUGUCGAUGAUCGAAUUGUUGAAUACAGAAUGAAGGUGCAUGUCUUCGGCAACAACCCAUCCCCAGCGGUAGCCACCUGUGGACUUAGGAGGACCGCGCAGGCAGGAGAAGGGGAAUUUGGGAAAGGCUCCAAGCGAUUUGUAGAGCGAGAUUUCUACGUUGACGAUGCACUUAAAUCAAUGCCCACGGCCUCAGAAGCCAUCGAUCUGCUCCAAAGGACGCAAGGAAUGUUAGCAACUGCUAACCUGAGACUUCACAAGAUAGCGUCCAGCAGCGCAGAAGUGAUAAAAGCGUUUCCUUCAGACGAUCGUUCAAAAGACUUGAAAGACUUGGACCUUAACGUCGACACACCACCAAUCCAACGCAGCCUUGUCCUGAGUUGGGACCUGAAAGCGGAUACGUUCACGUUCCGAGUAUCAAUUUGAGAGAAACCUUACACGCGACAUAGCAUCUUGUCGAUGGUAAACAGCCUGUACGGUCCACUAGGAUUUGUAGCGCCAGUCACCAUGCAAGGCCGUUGGAUACUUAGAUACCUUUGUGCUGAUACACAAGACUGGGAUAGCCCGUUUACGGAAGAACGGCGACAAGAAUGGGAAACUUGGAGAAAUUCCUUACAGGCACUUGAGCAGCUGCAGAUUCCACAUUCCUACACGCCCACAUCCCUUUCCGUAACCCAACGGAAGGAGUUACACGUGUUUGCAGAUGCUUCUAUGAUGGCCGUAGCAGCUGUAGCUUACCUAAAAACCACAAGCGCAGAAGGGAUCCAACAUGUUGGGUUCAUAUUGGGCAAAGCCAAACUGGCCCCACAACCGGAACAUACCAUCCCAAGGCUCGAGUUGUGUGGAGCCGUUCUUGCUACAGAGGUGGCAGAACUGAUCUUAGACGAAUUGGACGUCAAACUGGACGCGGUCAAGUUCUACACGGACAGUAAGGUCGUACUAGGCUACAUAAACAACCAAACCAGAAGGUUCUACACCGACAUCAGCAACCGGGUGGAGCGCAUCAGGAGAUCGACGCAGCCGGAGCAAUGAAUUACGGUCCAACUGACCAGAAUCGAGCAGAUCUCGCAACUAGGUCCGUCCCUGCAUCUCUGCUGAAGCAAACCAUUUGGCUGACGGGUCCAGCGUUCCUCUUACGACGUGACGGUGGCCCAUGUACUACCAAAGAAACCUUUGGACUGAUAGAGUCCGAGUCAGACAAGGAGAUUCGUGCUCAAGUGACAACUUUCGUAACAAAUGUGCGACCAAGAAGUCCACUGAGUCCACACCAUUUUGAACAUUUCUCGAAAUGGAUGACGCUCAUGCGAGAGAUAGCACAUCUAACGCAUAUCGCAGACUGCUUCCAUCGCCCGAUGAGAGGCACCACUGGUAGCUGCAAUGGAUGGCAUCACUGCACAGUGCCACGCACUGAAGACGAGCUUUCCAGAGCAAGGGAAUCAAUCUUCCGCUGUGUGCAACAGGCAGCUUAUGCAAAUGAGAUCAAGGCCAUCAACAAGGGAGAAGACCUUCCUAGGGUCAGCACCCUCAGGAAGCUAAACCUCAGAAUGGACAAAGACGACUUGCUCAGGAUCGGUGGUCGGCUAGGGAAUGCAAAAUUAUAUGAAAAUGAACGAAACCCCCUCAUAAUCCCAAGCCAGAGCCACAUUGCAAUUUUACUUGUGCGCCACUACCACGAGAAGGUCAAGCACCAAGGUCGGCACUUCACAGAAGGAGCAAUCCGAUCUGCAGGGCUGUGGAUCGUUGCAGCAAAAAGGUGCAUCACCAGCACAAUCCCCACGUGUAUCAGGUGUCGCAAGCUAUGUGGAAAAGAUGAAGAACAGAAAAUGGCAGACCUUCCAGCCAAUCAACUCAGUGUGGAACCUCCCUUCAUCUCUGUAGGGAUCGACGUGUUCGGAUCAUGGACAGUCAUCUCCCGCCGCACCAGAGGAGAGCUCGCGAACAGCAAACGUUGGGCAGUGCUGUUCACCUGUAUGAGUACACGAGCAGUGCACAUCGAAGUCAUCAAGUCCAUGAACUCUUCGAACUUUAUAAAUCCACUCCGGAGAUUCUUCGCCAUCAGAGGGCCAGCCAAGCAACUCCGUUCUGAUUGUGGAACCAGUUUCGCUGGAGCAUGUAAAGAGCUUAAGAUCAAUAUGGAGAAUGUCGAAGAUGAUUCUGUCAGGAAAUACCUUUGUAACCAAGGCUGCACAUGAAUCUUCAAUCGUCCCCACUCUUCGCAUAUGGGUGGAGCCUGGGAAUGCAUGAUCGGGAUUGCUCGACGCAUUCUCGACUUCAUGCUAUGUGAUGUCAGGUCCACACGGCUCUCUCACGAGGUCUUGACCACUCUCAUGGCCGAGGUCUCAGCCAUAAUUAAUUCAAGACCCCUGAUCCCCGUUUCAACCGACCCGGAGUCACCAUUCAUCUUGACUCCUGCUACACUUCUUACCCAGAAGACAGACGUGCUCACAGCACCUACCGAGGAGGCCAGCACUGCAGACCUCUACAGACAUCAAAGGAGACAAGUGCAGAGCUUCGCGAACACGUUCUGGCGUCGCUGGAAAAACGAGUACCUUACGACACUCCAAGUGCGCAGCAAGUGCUAGUCUAACAGACCAGACAUCCAAGAAGGUGACCUCGUCCUACUGAAGGACAACCAAGCCAAACCGAAUGAGUGGCCAAUGGGCCGCAUCCUCAAGUCGAUUCCAAGCGCCGAUGGAAAAGUUAGAAAAGUCGAGGUUAUGAUUGCGAAGCAAGGUGUUGCAAGAACUUUCGUCAGGACCAUAGUGGAGACAGUACUACUUGUCUCUCGCAAAGAUAUGGACAAAUAAGUUGACCCGUUGAAGUUGUUAUCCAUUUGUUUAUGAGAUAGGAAAUAAAUGGUGGUAUCUCCUAGAUACCAGACGGGGAGUGCUCUGCCUCACGGCAGGUGUCUUGCCUCACGGCAGAUGUGGGGCAUAUGUACACAGGAAUUUCCUGUUUUUGAUGCUAAGUUUGGUCACGUGACCAGGAAGUUGCGAUUUAAGAUUCCCGCUCAACCACGCGGGCGUCGGCCAUUACACACAUAAUUCAAGAUGGCGGCACACAUCGCGUCCCAGUGAAGCCAGCUGCAAUUGUCCAUUGUGGGACUUUAAGAAGCAUUCUCUUUUUACCUCGUUAAAUUCAAUAAAUGACGUUUGGAGUCAGACGUUCAUCCUGGCUCUGAGGGUUUAUUGGACGCGAAGUUAACUACUCAGCUGGCGGUCCAGCAUGUUGGGUUCAUAUUGAGCAACGCCAAACUGGCCCCACAACCGGAACAUACCAUCCCAAGGCUCGAGCUGUGUGGAGCCGUUCUUGCUACAGAGGUGGCGGAACUGAUCUUAGACGAUUUGGACGUCAAACUGGACGCGGUCAAGUUCUACAUGUACAGUAAGGUCGUACUAGGCUACAUAAACAACCUAACCAGAAGGUUCUACAUCGACAUCAGCAACCGGUGAAGCGCAUCAGGAGAUCGACGCAGCCGGAGCAAUGGAAUUACGUUCCAACUGACCAGAAUCCAGCAGAUCUCGCAACUAGGAUCGUCCCUGCAUCUCUGCUGAAGCAAACCAUCUGGCUGACGGGUCCAGCGUUCCUCUUACGACAUGACGGUGGCCCAUGUACUACCAAAGAGAACUUUGGACUCAUAGAGUCCGAGUCAGACAAGGAGAUUCGUCCUCAAGUGACAACUUUCGUAACACUGUGCGACCAAGAAGUCCACUGAGUCCACACUAUUUUGAACAUUUCUCGAAAUGGACGACGCUCGUGCGAGCGAUAGCACAUCUAACGCAUAUCGCAGACUGCUUCCAUCGCCCGAUGAGAGGCACCACUGGUAGCUGCAAUGGAUGGCAUCACUGCACAGUGCCACGCACUGAAGACGAGCUUUCCAGAGCAAGGAAAUCAAUCUUCUGCUGUGUGCAACAGGCAGCUUAUGCAAUUGAGAUCAAGGCCAUCAACAAGGGAGAAGACCUUCCUAGGGUCAUCACCCUCAGGAAGCUAAACCCCAGAAUGGACAAAGACGACUUGCUCAGGAUCGGUGGUCGGCUAGAGAAUGCAAAAUUAAAUGAAAAUGAACGAAACCCCCUCAUAAUCCCAAGCCAGAGCCACAUUGCAAUUUUACUUGUGCGCCACUACCACGAGAAGGUCAAGCACCAAGGUCGGCACUUCACAGAAGGAGCAAUCCGAUCUGCAGGGCAGUGGAUCGUUGCAGCAAAAAGGUGCAUCACCAGCACAAUCACCACGUGUAUCAGGUGUCGCAAGCUAUGUGGAAAAGAGGAAAAACAGAAAACGGCAGACCUCCCAGCCGAUCAACUCAGUGUGGAACCUCCCUUCAUCUCUGUAGGGAUCGACGUGUUCGGACCAUGGACAGUCAUCUCCCGCCGCACCAGAGGAGAGCUCGCGAACAGCAAACGUUGGGCAGUGCUGUUCACCUCUAUGAGUACACGAGCAGUGCACAUCGAAGUCAUCGAGUCCAAGGACUCUUCGAACUUUAUAAAUGCAUUCCGGAGAUUCUUCGCCAUCAGAGGGCCAGCCAAGCAACUCCGUUCUGAUUGUGGAACCAAUUUCGCUGGAGCAUGUAAAGAGCUUAAGAUCAAUACGGAGAAUGUCAAUGAUGAUUCUGUCAGGAAAUACCUUUGUGACCAAGGCUGCACAUGAAUCUUCAAUCGUCUCCACUCUUCGCAUAUGGGUGGAGCCUGGGAACGCAUGAUCGGGAUUGCUCGACGCAUUCUUAACUUCAUGCUAUGUGAUGUCGGGUCCACACGGCUCUCUCACGAGGUCUUGACCACUAUCAUGACCGAGGUCUCAGCCAUAUUUUAUUCAAGACCCCUGAUCCCUGUCUCAACCGACCCGGAGUCACCCUUCAUCUUGACUCCUGCUACACUUCUUACCCAGAAGACAGACGUGCUCACAGCACCUACCGAGGAGGCCAGCACUGCAGACCUCUACAGACGUCAAAGGAGACAAGUGCAGAGCUUCGCGAACACGUUCUGGCGUCGCUGGAAAAACGAGUACCUUACGACACUCCAAGUGCGCAGCAAGUGCCAGUCUAACAGACCAGACAUCCAAGAAGGUGAAGUUGUUAUCCAUUUGUUUAUGAGAUAGGAAAUAAAUGGUGGUAUCUCCUAGAUACCAGACGGGGAGUGCUCUGCCUCACGGCAGGUGUCUUGCCUCACGGCAGAUGUGGGGCAUAUGUACACAGGAAUUUCCUGUUUUUGAUGCUAAGUUUGGUCACGUGAUCAGGAAGUUGUGAUUUAAGAUUCCCGCUCAACCACGCGUUUGUCGGCCAUUACACACAUAAUUCAAGAUGGCGGCACACAUCGCGUCCCAGUGAAGCCAGCUGCAAUUGUCCAUUGUGGGACUUUAAGAAGCAUUGUCUGUAAGUUCGUUUAUGUACUUAUAAUAUUGGCAAUGCUGUCAUAAUGUUAGAAUGACCGUUAUAAUGAUGUAAAUGCCUUUAUAAUGCUGUUAAAAUUGUUAUGAUAAAUUCGAGGCCUAGUUAACAACGAAGCCUGCAACUUUCUUUAUUGUGAAUGUUACUUGUAAUUUAAUGAGUCGAGUCAAACUUGUACCCAAGUAACUUUAUUGCGAUCUGGAGAGCAAGGAUGACGAAAUGUCUAAUUCAUAGUGCAGUGUUAUGUGUAGUACUGUACAUCUGGGGUGCAGUGUGAUGAUAACACGGUGUGCCUUUAUGUAACACAGUAGCUUAUGCUCUUGUAUAGCUAUUCAGUGGUAAUGUAGGUGCCUGGUCCAUCCAGGAUCUAUUGAAAAACAUGUUAUCUAAGACAAUGUUAUGCUGUGGUGUUCAUUUAUUGUGUUGGUGUUUCCGGGUACUAAAAGAUGCUGUAUCUGUGCUGUUUUCUUACCAGUUUUACCUCGUUAAAUUCAAUAAAUGACGUUUGAAGUCGGACGUUCA